CACAGAUUUUGAGGGUUUCAUUUAUUGC
rnacentral:piRNA from 1 species